GGAUGUGAGGGCGAUCUGGCUGCAACAUCUGUCACCCCAUUGAUCGCCAGGGUUGAUUUGGCUGAGCUGGCUGGCUAGGCGGGUGUCCCCCUCCUCCCUCAUUGAUCCAUCUAAGCACUUGACUUUCACCCUGAGGAGAAGACUGGUCUUAGGUCAAGGGUAUACGAGUAGGUGCACUCCCCAGCUAGAACCUCCAAACAAGCUCUCAAGAAAAGUGCCUCAUUCAAAUAUAUAGGAUAAGUUGAUUAUGGUCAUGGUUACUUUUUACCUGUUUAAUCAGGUAUAUAUAGUA
rnacentral:snRNA from 1 species